UCGACGGGAAUGCCACGCUGAUGCGAUUUCGGUCAAAUCAUGUGGCAUUCGAGUGGCGGACGGGUGAGUAACGCGUGGGUAACCUGCCUUACACAGGGGGAUAACACCUGGAAACAGGUGCUAAUACCGCAUAAGCGCACAGGGCCGCAUGGCCCGGUGUGAAAAACUCCGGUGGUGUAAGAUGGACCCGCGUCUGAUUAGCUUGUUGGCGGGGUAGGGGCCCACCAAGGCGACGAUCAGUAGCCGGCCUGAGAGGGUGGACGGCCACAUUGGGACUGAGACACGGCCCAAACUCCUACGGGAGGCAGCAGUGGGGGAUAUUGGACAAUGGGGGAAACCCUGAUCCAGCGACGCCGCGUGAGUGAAGAAGUAUUUCGGUAUGUAAAGCUCUGUCAGCAGGGAAGAAAGAAAUGACGGUACCUGACCAAGAAGCCCCGGCUAACUACGUGCCAGCAGCCGCGGUAAUACGUAGGGGGCAAGCGUUAUCCGGAAUUACUGGGUGUAAAGGGAGCGUAGACGGUGAUGCAAGUCUGGAGUGAAAGGCGGGGGCCCAACCCCCGGACUGCUCUGGAAACUGUGUAACUUGAGUGCAGGAGAGGUAAGCGGAAUUCCUAGUGUAGCGGUGAAAUGCGUAGAUAUUAGGAGGAACACCAGUGGCGAAGGCGGCUUACUGGACUGUAACUGACGUUGAGGCUCGAAAGCGUGGGGAGCAAACAGGAUUAGAUACCCUGGUAGUCCACGCCGUAAACGAUGAUUACUAGGUGUCGGUGGGUAUGGACCCACCGGUGCCGCAGCAAACGCAGUAAGUAAUCCACCUGGGGAG
rnacentral:rRNA from 1 species